rnacentral:lncRNA from 1 species
GAUUACCGUGAAUCACUUUCAACGUAUAAAAAGAUCGCGUAUCUUGCACUAAUUCAGAGCACUUCUCCGCUUGCAGUAGUUCAGUCUUCAAGUCCCAAAAACUUCCACUCAAAAAUGUACAAGGUUUUCGUUUUCCUCGCUAUCGUUGCCGCUGCCAGCGCUAUGAACUUUGGCUUGGGAGCUCCUCUCCUCUCCAAAGUCAACUACCAGCCAGCUGAGUACACCCACGUCCGACCGGAAGUGACAGUUCAGCAGCCGGAAUAUAAAUACAAGAGUGUGCCUGUUCCAGUCCCAGUUGCGCAGCCGUACUACACCGCUCCCGUUGUCCGCAACUUUGUCGCCGCUCCCCAGUUUGCCGCUUACCCCGGCUUCAGUGGCUUCCCAUUCGGUUAUUAAGCGAAAGCGUUUAUGAUUCCUCUACGUACAUUGUUUCUAUAGUCUUCGACCCUUUGAUCGCAAAAAUAAAAAAGAUUUUUUAAUGA